rnacentral:rRNA from 1 species
GACGUAGGGCGCGAGCGUUGUCCGGAUUUAUUGGGCGUAAAGAGCUCGUAGGCGGCUUGUCGCGACGUCCGUGAAAACCUGCGGCUCAACUGCAGGCUGGCGGUCGAUACGGGCAGGCUGGAGUUCGGUAGGGGAGACUGGAAUUCCCGGUGUAGCGGUGAAAUGCGCAGAUAUCGGGAAGAACACCCGUGGCUAAGGCGGCUCUCUAGUACGGUACUGACGCUGAGACGCGAAAGCGUGGGGAGCGAACAGG